GAUAGCUUACGAUUCAGCCUGGGGUCCCUGGCUUUUAGUACCACCGAUACGUCCCCAUAUGCAUAUGUCUUAUUUUCAAGGACAUCUUGGGAGGCAAUGAGCAAUGAUAUCAGAUUGACAUCCUUCCCUUCCAAGAUGUCCUUCUUAAGGUUAGCAGGCACCAUGUGUGCCGGGUUAAUAAUAUGUGGUUCUCUAGGACCAGUUGGAAUAUUACCAGGAAGAGGACCGGGGAGAACCGUAGUGUCAGGAUUACCUAGAGCCGUGAGCGAAUGCUG